CGACCAUGUAGUUUAUGGUAUUUGGCCCAUGCUCCUCUUUUAGCUGCCCAGAGCACACCCGAGCUGGGGCUCUCCUCGAUCCGUCCGGGUACGGCACCGGUGGCGGCGGCCAGUCUUCUUCUCCGGCCAUUUGCCGCUCUCCUUCCCUUCCCCAUCCGCCCCUAAAAUUCUCCGGCAUCAACCCAGCCUCCUCAAUCUCUAGCCCAUAUCCAUGGAGUUCCAAACUUGGAUUUCAAAGGGAUUCGGUGCCUCAGGAGGAUGAACGCCAUGGCAGCUACACACACGCGGCGGCAGCGGAUUGAAGGAUGCGACAGCAAAUCGGCGUGAGCAUCCAUCUUCUGCUCUCUAAAUCUCUCUCUCUCUCUCUCUCCAACCUCCUCUAUCCUCUUGCAUCACAAACAGGCGGCGACUCUAUCCGGCCGAGUGUGGCAUAUGUGGUGCCUGUGUUGUGCUCCCGGCGGCCUAGCGUGUGUGCGUGUGGCUGGAUAUGCGUCUGUGUUCAUGUGUGUGGCGCUCUACAGGCAGAGGAAGUGGGUGGUUGCAGGCAGAGGAGUAUUAAGAUUAGUAUGGCACGAUUAGGAUACUUCCCUUGAUUUCUAUAAGAGAAAUUAAUAGUUUCCUUGAUUUGUUUUGUGGUGCACUGAUAUUUGGUUUGUGGUGCAGGAGCUUGAAGAUAUCAGGGGCAGCAGGCUUUACUGCAAUAUAUUCGUCCAUGAUUUUCUCACCAAAUCCGAAAUUAUUCGCCACCUAAAGUUUAAUCCCCUUGAGAAAAUGAGAGUAUUUAUGUACUAUGCUCUAUGGAUGUUGACAAUUUUGAUUGCAGGGGCUGGCAAAGUAAGUGCAGUGCUUGCCGUUGCAUAUAGAUAUUUAGGGCUACAUCAAACUUCAGUCAGUAGAACAUGAUGACCAGGCAGGGAGGUUCAUGUAGCAUUGGAAGUGAGGAUGUUUGGUGUAGAAUCGGUGCCGCCUCCACUCUACCCCGCCCCUCUGCAUUGUCCUCGACGGCAAUACGGGCGACCUCGCUGCUUGCCUCGCGUGCAACCACUUCAUCCCCAACCUAUCGGAAGAGAGCAUUGCAGACUGGGCGGACAAACAAUGAGGUGUAGCAGCACAACCUUGCCUCUUUCCCUUACUCUCAUUUACAAGCGAGCCAAAGACACCCCAAGUGAUGGCACGAUGGCCCAUCGUGUAUGAAUGUGCUUCCAAACAAGCUUGCGGCGGCUCAGACCAGACUUGCUUGGCAUACAUGGCUGCAAUGCAUACAUGUGGCGGGAAACAGGCAGGGAAGCUUGGGACUGGAUAUGCAAUUAUGCCUUUGAAAAAUGUGCAUCUCCGCAUCAGAAUUCUUUUGUGGUACGUUCUUCGUAAAGAUAUGCCUCAUGUGAAGUAUACCAUAUGCAGUUGAGGCUAUCAUGCUGAAGGGUAGGAAGAUGGAGGAGCGGAUUAUUUUAGCAAGCUGGUAACCUAUUGGUUUGUGAGUAAUCUUCUGUAUAUAUUAUUUAUAGGACUAUUGUUGUGGUGUUGACGACGACAACGAAGUGUGCAGAUGUUUGGUAUGGAGAGAAAUUCAGAAGGACAGGGAGAACUCAUCUCUUCAGAACUAAA